rnacentral:lncRNA from 1 species
GGCUGGGACAAAGGCGGCUGCAGCCGUGUCCAGCAGGCAGGGGACAGCCCCGCGCGGGCCCGACGCCCCCUCUGACCACCCGCCCGGGCUCGCGGGAGGGGAGAAAGAAAACCACGACUUCCUGGAAAAGUCUUCACCGUAAAUAUUAAUCUCUUUGGCAUGAAGAGGAAAACACUGCAGCUAAUUUUUCAUGGGAUAACAAAAAUAUAAACUGCAAUUUCUUUUAUUUUUUCCCUUUCGAUGGUCUUUUUAAACGAGGAGUAAAGAUUUCAACGCCAGGUCCAUUUUCCAAAUUUUGUACCAGAACCUUGAGGAUGCUUGUCUCUCGCGCGCUUCUCCGCAGACCGAACCCUCUCCGGAACUCAGAGCUGUUCACCCAAGUCAGCGGAGGAGGCCUCCUGGGACUUGAGCCUGAGGGUGGCGAAGAACCCUAGGCAGAGAUCAUCAACUUGGUACCGAUGAGUGACGCGGAGCUUGAACAUUCCAGCGACUUGCUCCAGGGCCACUCCCAGUUAAGAGGCUGAGUGUUAACUGCAAGAGGCUGAGUGUUAACUACGCCGUUGGCUCCAGGAACCGAACCGGGUUUGGAUACAGACCCAGUCA